ensembl:lncRNA
UGAAGAUUAUACUAGGACAAAACAAUAAUAAUAACAACAAAAAGGCCUAAUUGGACGGAUUCACUGAAAUCGGUGGCAGUGGUCCUAUACAGAUCUCAUCAAGAUCAUCAAGGAUAACACUUGUCAUGGCACAAACCAGAUCUCACCUACUUUCUAACCAGUUCCCUGUGAUGGACUGGCAUCCAUCCACUGGAAUGAAUCCUGUCCAAUUAGGCCACUGUGCUCAAAUAUUGUUUUGUCCUAGUAUAAUCUUCAGAAAUAAUUUUCUCGCUAACAGACAAGAGCCUUAAAUGUUCCCAGUAUA